UACGGGAGGCAGCAGUGGGGAAUAUUGCACAAUGGGCGAAAGCCUGAUGCAGCUAUGCCGCGUGUAUGAAGAAGGCCUUAGGGUUGUAAAGUACUUUCAUCGGGGAGGAAAAAACAAAACUAAUAAUUUUAUUUCUUGACGUUACCCGAAAAAGAAGCACCGGCUAACUCCGUGCCAGCAGCCGCGGUAAUACGGAGGGUGCUAGCGUUAAUCAGAAUUACUGGGCGUAAAGAGCACGUAGGUGGUUUUUUUAAGUCAGAUGUGAAAUCCCUGGGCUUAACCUAGGAACUGCAUUUUGAAACUGAAAUACCAGAGUAUCGUAGAGGGAGGUAGAAUUCUAGGUGUAGCGGUGAAAUGCGUAGAUAUCUGGAGGAAUACCUGUGGCGAAAGCGGCCUCCUAAACGAAUACUGACACUGAGGUGCGAAAGCGUGGGGAGCAAACAGGGAUUAGAUACC
rnacentral:rRNA from 1 species